GCGCGCGCCGCGCCCAGCGCGCCUGCGCGUUCCCGCCCCAUGAGGGGCCGCCGCCGCCGCCAUCUUUGUGCCGGGCCAAGGGACGGGCAGGGCGGAGAUCCCGAAUCCCGGGAUAGGGAGAAUGGAAGGGGCCGCAGCGCGUCACCGGCUUACCAAAUCCGCCGGGGAAAUUAAACCCUCCAAUACCGGCUUUUUAGUGUUAGCGAGGAAGGCGUUACUUUAUUCUGGCCAGGCCGACCAAAUUGCAGCCUCCACACAGACCACUCCUGGAAGCGGCACUUGAGCCAGGAGUCGGAGGAGAAGAGAUGCCAAGCCAUUACAGCGCUUCCCGCAACGAUUGAAACGCUAAGAGGGUCAAAAGCCGGCGUCAGAGUGGGCACAAGAACAAAGAUUACAGUUGCCUUCAGGAGCUUCAUGAUGGGAGCUGACCGCCAGCCUGGCUCAGCAGGAAAAGAAACCAAAACAGAAACUGCAGAAAAACUUCCUGGAGCGUGGAGCCUGGGGCUGCUGAAGGGGCUGGAAGCCAAGUCUCCUGUAAGCUGGAGGUGUUAAUGAGUUAACAGACUUAUCACGCUGCUCCAGGAGAACCGAAAGCGUCGUGAACAGAGCGUUGCAUAGGCAGAGUGAGAGUUUCACUAGAACAAUCCCAGCUCUGAUGGGAGGAGGACUGGAAUCUCUCAGCAUCUUAACCAAGGUGCUAAUUGGGCUGGUGAUUAACGGAGAGCACAGAGAUGCUUGUUUUGGGCUUAAUUGCGAGUGGUUGUGCACACAACAUUACACAGCCCGAGGAUUUCCGUAGCAGUGCUUGGGGCUGUGCAAUUUGCAGCACUGAACGUGUCAGAAAGCUGCUGUAUCAAAAUAAAGUCGUCAAAGCAA